rnacentral:rRNA from 1 species
CGUAGGGUGCAAGCGUUGUCCGGCAUUAUUGGGCGUAAAGGGCUCGUAGGCGGUUUGUCGCGUCGGGAGUGAAAACUCAGGGCUUAACCCUGAGCCUGCUUCCGAUACGGGCAGACUAGAGGUAUGCAGGGGAGAAUGGAAUUCCUGGUGUAGCGGUGAAAUGCGCAGAUAUCAGGAGGAACACCGGUGGCGAAGGCGGUUCUCUGGGCAUUACCUGACGCUGAGGAGCGAAAGUGUGGGGAGCGAACAGG